UGGGGAAUCUUGGACAAUGGGGGAAACCCUGAUCCAGCGACGCCGCGUGGGUGAUGAAGGCCUUCGGGUCGUAAAGCCCUGUCGGGGGGGAAGAAACUCUCGCCGGUGAACAAUCGGCGGGAUUGACGGUACCCCCUAAGGAAGCACCGGCUAACUCCGUGCCAGCAGCCGCGGUAAGACGGAGGGUGCAAGCGUUGUUCGGAAUUACUGGGCGUAAAGGGCGCGUAGGCGGUCCGCUAAGUUCGGUGUGAAAUCCCCCGGCUCACCUGGGGAAUUGCGUCGGAAACUGACGGACUAGAGUACCGGAGAGGAAGGCGGAAUUCCUGGUGUAGCGGUGAAAUGCGUAGAUAUCAGGAGGAACACCGGUGGCGAAGGCGGCCUUCUGGACGGAUACUGACGCUGAGGCGCGAAAGCGUGGGGAUCAAACAGG
rnacentral:rRNA from 1 species